UACGUAGGGGGCAAGCGUUGUCCGGAUUUAUUGGGCGUAAAGAGCGUGUAGGCGGCUAGAUAGGUCCGUUGUGAAAACUCGAGGCUCAACCUCAAGACGUCGAUGGAAACCAUCUGGCUAGAGUCCGGAAGAGGAGAGUGGAAUUCCUGGUGUAGCGGUGAAAUGCGCAGAUAUCAGGAAGAACACCCGUGGCGAAGGCGGCUCUCUGGUACGUGACUGACGCUGAGACGCGAAAGCGUGGGGAGCGAACGGG
rnacentral:rRNA from 1 species